rnacentral:rRNA from 1 species
UACGUAGGGUGCAAGCGUUAAUCGGAAUUACUGGGCGUAAAGGGAGCGUAGGCGGCGUGGUAAGUCAGACGUGAAAUCCCUCGGCUCAACCGGGGAAUGGCAUCUGAUACUGGAUGGCUUGAGUUUGGGAGAGGGACGCGGAAUUCCAGGUGUAGCGGUGAAAUGCGUAGAUAUCUGGAGGAACACCGGUGGCGAAGGCGGCAUCCUGGACCGGCAUUGACGCUGAGGCGCGAAAGCCAGGGGAGCAAACGGG